rnacentral:rRNA from 1 species
CAGCCGCCGCGGUAAUACGUAGGGGGCGAGCGUUGUCCGGAAUUACUGGGCGUAAAGGGCGUGUAGGCGGUUUAUCAAGUCAGGUGUGAAAUUCCAGGGCUCAACCCUGGGCGUGCACUUGAAACUGGUAGGCUUGAGUGCAGGAGAGGAAAGUGGAAUUCCCAGUGUAGCGGUGAAAUGCGUAGAUAUUGGGAGGAACACCAGUGGCGAAGGCGACUUUCUGGCCUGUAACUGACGCUGAGGCGCGAAAGCUAGGGGAGCAAACAGGAUUAGAUACCCUGGUAGUCCUAGCCGUAAACGAUGGGUACUAGGUGUAGGGGGUUUAGACGCCCUCUGUGCCGCAGUUAACACAUUAAGUACCCCGCCUGGGGAGUACGGCCGCAAGGCUGAAACUCAAAGGAAUUGACGGGGGCCCGCACAAGCGGUGGAGCAUGUGGUUUAAUUCGAAGCAACGCGAAGAACCUUACCAAGGCUUGACAUAUAGCUGCCGGGUUAGGAAACUAACCUUUCUUUUCGGAGACGGCUAUACAGGUGGUGCAUGGCC